ensembl:lncRNA
GUCUAGUUGCAAAUGUACAUAAAUUGCACAGCCACAUUUUGUCAACACAAGUUCUGUACAUUAUUGUUUUGUCACUGUUGCCAAAGGAAGCAGAAUCCAGCAAAUACUUUAUACUCUCAACAUACUUACAAAAGUAAUUUCUACAGGAUCAUAGAAAACACACAACAUUUGUUACUUUAUUGUUCAAUUUGUUGGGUUGUCAUGUGGAUUUUAACCAGUGAGGAACUGUGGAGAUGCCAUUAACCGAGGCAAUACGACGUGUGAAGUAUUUUACUCAAUAUGGUAAUUCAAUGCAAUUAUUUUGGCCCAUUUAAUCGUCCAUAAACAUUUUAUUUACAAUGAUAAGACCUGUGAGGACAUCCAUAGAUCUACAUCUUUAAUUCAGGAUGUUCUUCAGACAUAAUUCUAACUUUCAGUAUGCAUCUAAUUUGUGGAAGUUUUUUUUUUUUUUCUUUUUUACAACAGUUCCUCAAAGUACACGUAUGUUUUUAAAGUCCACAGUCACAACACUUUUUAUGUGCUGUGCUACAAAAUUGCCGUUUGCCAACUAGUACUGAACAGAAAAGUGCAUAGAGCUAGAGUCAAAGAGGAUUGUGCUUGCGAAUCUCACUGUAACUGAAGCCCCUCGGACCACUGAAAUCUAUUCUUUAAAAUAUGAGUAUCUGACUAAUCUGUUUUUGGCUAGCGUAAUACAGAAAGUGCCAACAGACUGAACAGGGAGGACACAGAAGGCUGACUAAAUACAGUUCUACCCAAUGAGAGCAGACCACUGACUGAGCUAUUUAUUUACAAUAUCCAUAAUGGUAACAGCAGAGGUUUAGGACAAAAACAUUUACAAAAAGCUCUUGUUAACAUUACAUAAAAAUAGUGUCAGCAUUUUAUUUAUUUACACUUUCUCAGGCUGUCCAGUCGCUAGAUACACUCUGUUAAUCUUAUAUAUAUUUACUACAUAAAUUUGCAGCAAGCCAUUUAGUUCAUCAUCGCUUUCCAUCUCGCAAUAAAAUAAAGAGGGUGAUAUUUCACGCUGCUAUUGGCUCUAAAACAAUGAAGAAGCAUGCAAAGCCUCACUUAGAAAUAGAAUUCAAAUAAAAUAUACAAAAUAUAACCGUUAGAGGACAGGGAACCUCAAGGUAAGACCGUGUGUGAGUAAGAAUCUUCACAUUCAGAACUACUAGAGUAUGGUACACCACUCAGGUCUAACAAAAACGACCACCUGCGUCACCGGGUGUGUUAAUGUUGCACGAAUAU